UUAAUUCGAUGCAACGCGAAGAACCUUACCAAGGCUUGACAUACACCGGACCGUCCUGGAAACAGGUCCUCUUCUUUGAAGCUGGUGUACAGGUGGUGCAUGGUUGUCGUCAGCUCGUGUCGUGAGAUGUUGGGUUAAGUCCCGCAACGAGCGCAACCCUCGUUCUAUGUUGCCAGCACGUGAUGGUGGGAACUCAUAGGAGACUGCCGGGGUCAACUCGGAGGAAGGUGGGGAUGAC
rnacentral:rRNA from 1 species